rnacentral:rRNA from 1 species
GAUGAACGCUGGCGGCGUGCCUAAUACAUGCAAGUCGAGCGAACAGACGAGGAGCUUGCUCCUCUGACGUUAGCGGCGGACGGGUGAGUAACACGUGGAUAACCUACCUAUAAGACUGGGAUAACUUCGGGAAACCGGAGCUAAUACCGGAUAAUAUAUUGAACCGCAUGGUUCAAUAGUGAAAGACGGUUUUGCUGUCACUUAUAGAUGGAUCCGCGCCGCAUUAGCUAGUUGGUAAGGUAACGGCUUACCAAGGCAACGAUGCGUAGCCGACCUGAGAGGGUGAUCGGCCACACUGGAACUGAGACACGGUCCAGACUCCUACGGGAGGCAGCAGUAGGGAAUCUUCCGCAAUGGGCGAAAGCCUGACGGAGCAACGCCGCGUGAGUGAUGAAGGUCUUCGAAUCGUAAAACUCUGUUAUUAGGGAAGAACAAAUGUGUAAGUAACUAUGCACAUCUUGACGGUACCUAAUCAGAAAGCCACGGCUAACUACGUG